UUCUUAUCAAGAGAGACGGAGGGAUUGGCCCGAAGAUGUCUCAGCAACCAGCCGAAUAAAGGUGUGGUGCUAAUUCCAAUAGACGUUCUACGUCUUGAAGAUAAGAA
rnacentral:ncRNA from 2 species